CCACGGUAGACGCUGUCGUGGAGCAGGCAUCGCCUGGCCCCGACCAUGUCGCGUGUCCACUACAAGUUCUUCUCCAAGCUGAACUAUGAUACAGUCACCUUCGACGGCCUCUACAUCUCUCGGCGUGACCUCAAGCUCCAGAUCAUGGGCCACGAGAAGCUGACGGCGGCCAGCUGCGACCUGCAGAUCACCAACGCCCAGACCAAAGAAGUUGCUGUUCUGACAACUACCUUCAGAUCUGUGCUUUAGUCGCGGAGCUAGGCACAGAAGAACACGGGGUUGAUGGGCGAUGUAUAGUGCUUACAAAAGUUUUGGUUUCCUGGAAUUCUUCUAGGUAAAAUGAUAAGGAAAUGUGGGAGGAGAUCUUUUAAUAACAAACCUGCCAGAUUUCUUUGAAAUCUGGCGGAGGAAGCUGAAAGUGAUGGAGACAGAACAGAUGGCUAGUUUGAAG